rnacentral:lncRNA from 1 species
UUAGAUUACAUUCGGAAUGAUUAGACGGAUAUUGAAUACCUUGAUUACAACUACACAAUUUACAAUACCUGAAGAGUGGGUCUCCACUGAUGGAUAAACUCUCGAUAUACUUCAGCUCUCUAUACGCUCUCGCACACUGUCUCAAUAUCUCAAUACGAUACUUGCCUUCGAUACUUGCCUUCGAUACUGUCUGGAUACUAUUACGUCAUGCACAUUUGUCAACACUUAAUCACUACUUCAAUCAGUUACCAUGCAAAUCAAAUAGGUUAAAUCAAAUAGAAUCAUGUUAAAUCAAAC